rnacentral:snoRNA from 1 species
UUUAAAUGAUGAUAAAAACUUAUUAAAUAACGACAUCGAAAAACAAAAAAGCUUGAUAAACCGUGAUAUCUAUAAUGAUAGGACUGAUCAC